GGCAGUGGUAGCUCAGUGGUUCAUAUGUUAGCCUACUAAUCAGAAGGUUGUGAGUUCAAAUCCUAUCACUGCUA